GCCUGGACGUCUAAGAUGAUAUUAGGGAUCCAAUUUCCUGGAACAAUGAAGCUACUGAUCACUCAACAUUGAAUGAACAAGGGAAAAAGGCAGAUCUACAAUGCAGUGAUACCUGGUCCCUUUCAAGACUCUGGAGAGUGCAUCUUAGAAGUUGAGGUUUAUGACUGCACACCUCAUCUUUGCAGGUGCUACAAUAAGCCACCACCUGAAAUCCUGAAGAACAGCCACAGGAGGACGGGCACAGCUGUGAAAUGAAUCAGCCUCCUGCCUCUCUAAUGCACACAAAUUUGGCAAGAGCAUGGCACUGCUUUCAGUAAAGAUUCCAACAGUUCAUCUCUGCUGACCUUACCUUUAAGACAGUCAAGCUGAAAUGCAGGUUAUUCUUCUUCUUCUCAAGGACUCUAGCACCGAUACUACUUUUUUGUCCUUGUAGCUAUUUUUUUUUAAGAAAGCCAAGAAAUUUUCAGCUUCUAAACCAAGAAAAAUGGAUUGCACCUAGAAGAGCUGGUGAGAUGUAGAACAGAGCAGCUCAAUGCCAACACAAAAGAAUGUCUUGCCAUCUCCAAUGAACAAAAAUAUCAUUCCAAUUUUCCUGCUCUGAUUUCAGAAGAUCCUUGGUUAAAAGAUCUGAUGUUAUUAUGGAUGUAUUUUGUGUC